UACGGAGGGUGCAAGCGUUAAUCGGAAUUACUGGGCGUAAAGCGUGCGCAGGCGGUUUGCUAAGACAGGUGUGAAAUCCCCGGGCUUAACCUGGGAACUGCGCUUGUAACUGGCAAGCUAGAGUGUGGCAGAGGGGGGUGGAAUUCCACGUGUAGCAGUGAAAUGCGUAGAGAUGUGGAGGAACACCGAUGGCGAAGGCAGCCCCCUGGGCUAACACUGACGCUCAUGCACGAAAGCGUGGGGAGCAAACAGG
rnacentral:rRNA from 1 species